AGGUAGCGCCAGCCAAGCUGGCCCAGAGAUCCAAAUGCUGCUUUUUAUAAAAUCGGGUGCCGUCAUGCCCCGCGAAACGAGAUCAGCCGGGUUCUGCUGUCCAGGUAUUUGGAGCUGCUUUGAUCCAAUGUAGUGUAAUACUGGAAUCGGACCAGAAAUGUACCGACUGCACAGGAAGCUGAAUGGCUUUGGCAAUGUGCUCGUACAGAUGAGCCCCUAAUACGGCACCGCAGAGUUCUAAACGAGGCAGGCUUAUACGCUUCAAUGGAGCUACUCUAGAUUUCGAUGCAAUCAAAGAUAUUUUAAUAUUCCCCUCGGCAUCCUCGCACCUUGCAUAAACGCAUGAGCCAUAUGCCGACUCUGAAGCAUCAGUAAAUAUGUGCAGUUGCACAUUCGAUCGUAAGGCGAAACAGUAUCGUUCGAUUCUAUAGCAAGUCAGAAUCUCCAACUUCUCAUAAAAAUCUUUCCAUUUCAGCCCAAAUGACUCUGGUACAGUCUCAUCCCAGCCAAUCGAUAGCGCCCAAAGCUGCUGCAUCAUUAUUUUUGCUCGCACUACGACAGGAGCGAUAAGACCCAACGGGUCAAAUAAUCGAGCUAUCUCCGAACAAAUGCUCCGUUUAGUAGAGGGUAACUGCAGUGGCUUGAUGCUUGAUGCAAAGCAUAAAUUAUCGCGCUCAGGUUCCCAGCAGACACCUAGGGCUUUUAUAGUUUCGUCGGUAUCAAACUGCACUUCGUGAAUAAAGAAUUCAACCGUUGUCUUAGGCUCGCAAUUUCGGUCAUCUUUAUACUUGACCUGUUGAGAUGGCAGGAUUCGGGAAAACAGUUGCAAUGACGAUGGCAGGGAAACACACACAGAUGAUGACGGAUGGCUGUUCCAAACUGCGACUGGCGGGAAACACACGAUUACGAAGACGGAUAUCACACGCGCGAAAACAACCGGUUGCGACACGGAAGAUAAGCUGACGUUUUCUCACACUAAUGUUCAACGGAUUGGACAGUAACUUAACUUUAGUGUUCUUUGUAACAAGACGUUACACGAUUCAAAGACGAACGAAAUCUUAUAUUAUAAUAAAGGCAAGACGCCUCACAGCUUUUUUUACGCGACUGCGGUGAAUCGCUGAAUUGUA